GACGAACGCUGGCGGCGUGCCUAAUACAUGCAAGUAGGACGCAGUUGCGAACGGGUGAGUAACGCGUAGGUAACUGCCUAUUAGAGGGGGAUAACUAUUGGGAAGGAUAGCUAAUACCGCAUACUAGGAGAUGGACCGGCGUUGUGUUAGCUAGUAGGUAGGGGAAUGGCCUAACUAGGGGAAGAUACAUAGCCGACAUGGGAGGGUGAACGGGCAAACUGGGAAUGGGACCCGGCCCAAAACCCUUAGGGAGGCAGGAGGAGGGAAUAUUUGGAAAUUGGGGGAACCCUGACCGAGCACCGCCGGCGGAGUGGAGAAGGGUUUCGGAGCGUAAAGCUCUGUUGUUAAGGAAGCGGUACUUAACCAGAAAGCGACGGCUAACUACGUGCCAGCAGCCGCGGUAAUAC
rnacentral:rRNA from 1 species